ACACCGGGAUAACCCAGGGAAACCUGAGCUAAUACCGGAUACUCCGGCGUGAUCGCAUGGUCGCGCCGGGAAAGCUCCGACGGUCCGGGAUGGGCCCGCGGCCUAUCAGCUUGUUGGUGGGGUAACGGCCCACCAAGGCGACGACGGGUAGCUGGUCUGAGAGGACGGCCAGCCACACUGGGACUGAGACACGGCCCAGACUCCUACGGGAGGCAGCAGUGGGGGAUCUUGCGCUAAUGCGCGAAAGCGUGACGCAGCGACGCCGCGUGGGGGAUGAAGGCCCUCGGGUUGUAAACCCCUUUCGGCAGGGACGAAGCGAGAGUGACGGUACCUGCAGAAGAAGUCCCGGCUAACUACGUGCCAGCAGCCGCGGUAACACGUAGGGGACGAGCGUUGUCCGGAUUCAUUGGGCGUAAAGCGCGCGUAGGCGGCUCGGAAAGUCGGUCGUGAAAUGCCGGGGCUCAACCCCGGGACUGCGUCCGAUACUCCCGAGCUGGAGGCAGGUAGGGGAGAUCGGAAUUCCUGGUGUAGCGGUGAAAUGCGCAGAUAUCAGGAGGAACACCGGUGGCGAAGGCGGAUCUCUGGGCUUUGCCUGACGCUGAGGCGCGAAAGCUAGGGGAGCGAACAGGAUUAGAUACCCUGGUAGUCCUAGCCGUAAACGUUGGGUGCUAGGUGUGGGCGGAUAUCGACCCCGUCCGUGCCGAAGCUAACGCAUUAAGCACCCCGCCUGGGAAGUACGGUCGCAAGAUUAAAACUCAAAGGAAUUGACGGGGGCCCGCACAAGCGGUGGAGCAUGUGGUUCAAUUCGAUGCAACGCGAAAAACCUUACCUGGGUUUGACAUCUGGCGAAUCUCUGUGAAAGCAGAGAGUGCCCGCAAGGGAGCGCCAAGACAGGUGCUGCAUGGCUGUCGUCAGCUCGUGCCGUGAGGUGUUGGGUUAAGUCCCGCAACGAGCGCAACCCUUACCCUUAGUUGCCCCCGGGUAAAGCCGUGGCACUCCAAGGGAACUGCCCGUGUUAAGCGGGAGGAAGGUGGGGACGACGUCAAGUCAUCAUGGCCUUUAUACCCAGGGCUACACACGUGCUACAAUGGAUGGUACAGAGAGUUGCUAACUCGCGAGACGGAGCUAAUCUCAAAAAACCAUCCUCAGUUCGGAUCGAAGUCUGCAACUUGACUUCGUGAAGCUGGAAUCGCUAGUAAUCGCGGAUCAGCAUGCCGCGGUGAUACGUUCCCGGGCAUUGUACACA
rnacentral:rRNA from 1 species